AGUCGUAACAAGGUUUCCGUAGGUGAACCUGCGGAAGGAUCAUUACCGAGUGAGGGCCCUCUGGGUCCAACCUCCCACCCAUGUUUAUUGUACCUUGUUGCUUCGGCGAGCCUGCCUUCGGGCUGCCGGGGGACGCCUGUCCCCGGGUCCGCGCUCGCCGGAGACACCUAGAACUCUGUCUGAAGAUUGCCGUCUGAGACUAAAUAUAAAUUAUUUAAAACUUUCAACAACGGAUCUCUUGGUUCCGGCAUCGAUGAAGAACGCAGCGAAAUGCGAUACGUAAUGUGAAUUGCAGAAUUCAGUGAAUCAUCGAGUCUUUGAACGCACAUUGCGCCCUCUGGUAUUCCGGAGGGCAUGCCUGUCCGAGCGUCAUUUCUGCCCUCAAGCACGGCUUGUGUGUUGGGCCCCGUCCUCCCUCCGGGGGACGGGCCCGAAAGGCAGCGGCGGCACCGGUCCGGUCCUCAAGCGUAUGGGGCUUUGUCACUCGCUUUGUAGGCCCGGCCGGCGCCUGCCGAUCAACCAUAACUUUUUUCCAGGUUGACCUCGGAUCAGGUAGGGAUACCCGCUGAACCUAAGCAUAUCA
rnacentral:misc_RNA from 1 species